AGAGCCCCACGUGAAAGGAGUAGCUGCACCAUCACGACCCCUAGUCAUGCGCGGGCAGCCGCGAGGCCGCACGUGAAGCGUUGACAGGGGAAAACGCAGGCCAGCUAUAGAGCUCCGAAAUCACCCAUCCGGGGUGCCGACCUUGUGCUCGGGUCGGUUUUGGGAAUCCUAACGGAUUCCCAAAACC
rfam:Desulfotomaculum gibsoniae DSM 7213, complete genome.